rnacentral:rRNA from 1 species
GAUGAACGCUAGCGGCAGGCUUAACACAUGCAAGUCGAGGGGCAGCAGGGGUAGCAAUACCCGCUGGCGACCGGCAAACGGGUGCGGAACACGUACGCAAUCUACCAUUGUCUGGGGCAUAGCCCGAAGAAAUUCGGAUUAAUACCCCAUAAUAUAUUGAGAAGGCAUCUUUUUGAUAUUAAAACUCCGGUUGACAACGA